GGGGGCUGUUUCGCAUGGACGGAUGCUGUGCGUGGAGUCCGCUGCGUGGGGGGGUGCCGAGCCCUGCUCCGGACAGCGGAGCCGCAGAGCAUUGGCAUGAUUGAUGGUGCUCCGUGCCUCUCUGUGGUCUUUUUGCUACAGGGUCACAGUGAGAUAAAGUUGUCGCUGUGAUUUUGUGGUGGGGGGAUCGCGGAGAGGCGGGGAGCGUUGUCGGUCAUGUUGGUGGUCUGUGUCUCUGCUGUCCGGGGCGGGGCUUGGCACUCUUUCGCGCGGCGGAUUCCACGCAUGGCAUCCGCUCGUAUGAAGGAGCCCUAAGUGCCUGAGACUUUAGGAA